rnacentral:tRNA from 1 species
GUAGGUGUAGUUUUAACAAAAAUAUUAGAUUGUGAUUCUAAAGAUAGGAAUUAAAACUCCUCACCCACC